UGUUCCAGUUUGGUGAGAUUUAUUCUAGGGCGUUUUUUGUUCCAGAUAAAAGUUCUAAAGAUGUUGUUCAGCCGUUUUAAGCCUGUGGUUUUGAUGUAGUAUGGCAGCAUUUACAUUGGGUAUAGUAGUUUUGGGAAAAGAAACAUUUUAAUGAAGUGUAUUCUACCAGAGAAGGUCAGAUUAAUGUGUUUCCAUUCUUGUGUUUCUUGUUGUAAGGCAUCUAUUGUUUUCCUUAUAUUUAGUGCGUAUGUCUUUUUGUGGUCUGAGGGUAUAGUUAUGCCUAAAUAUUUUAUACUGUGUUCAGCUUUUUUGAAUGGGAAUUGUGUAGGCCAUGUAGUGGAUGUCGAUUGGGUGAGUUGUAGGGCUUCAGAUUUGUCUAGGUUUAUUUGAAAGCCUGCCACUUUUCCAAAUCUUUGUAUUAUUGAUAAAAUUGCGUGUGUUUCCGUUUGGGGCUGGCUUAGGAAUAGCAAAAUGUUGUCUGCGAAUGCUGUUACUUUGAGAAUUGUUCGGCCUGUGUGGAUUCCUUUCAAUUUGGGUAUCUUCAUUAUAUGUCUCAGCAGGGGAUCUAUGGCUAGGUUGAAUAGGUGGGGAGAUAAGGGGCAUCCCUGACGUGUCCCUCUUCCGAUGAUAAAUCUUUCUGAGUUGCAGUUGUUAACUGUUAUGAAUGUGCUAGGUGAGCUAUAUAGGCUUUUGUAUAGGUUAAAUGUCUGUAUGCCAAAGUGUUUUAAUUUUUGUGGGCGACAGGUGUGCAUGUGAUGUUCUAUCGAAGGCUUUGUCAGCGUCUAAGUUUAUUAACAUUUCUUGUUUUCUUUUCUCUAGGUUGUUUUGGAAGACUACUGUAAGUAUUUUCCUGAGAGCUUGAACGGGAUGUCAUUGUCUAAGCAAUCCGGUUUGGUGUUCUGUGCGUCUAAGAUGUUGUGGUCUUGUACGGAGAGUUUGUGGAGCUUAGCUUCUCGCAAGAAUUGUAGGCCUUCCUGUGUCUUCUACUGUCUGAUAUAGUUUUUUAAAGUGGUUAGUAAUUAUGUUUAUAAUUUGACUCGGAUCCUGUGUCCAGCCAUCGGGUGUUUUAAGUUUUUGUAUUAAUGUGUUCCUGGUCUGCCUUUUCGCUAAAAGUACUAAGAGCUUUCCUGAUUUGUUUCCAUGCCUAUAGAAUUUAUGUUUUGUGUAACUCAAUGAUUGGUAUGCUUUUCCUCUCAAUAAAGUAUCGAAAAGUA